GCUUCAUGGCAAACAUCCGCGCGGCGUGAUGGUUUGCUGCAACCUCGCCCCGUUCUCCUCCUAGUACGCAUCCUUCUUGGCACGGGCGUCUUUCGCGGUCUGCACGAGAUUGAGUUGCUGCUCGAUCNNNNUUCGCUCCGACGCCGUGAGGCAUGACAGGAUGUCCUGUUCCUUGCGGAGCAGGCGGGGAAUAAGCUCCUCAUAGAGCGCGUGUCCCUUGCGGGUGAGCUGCAACGCCAGCU
rnacentral:misc_RNA from 1 species